rnacentral:lncRNA from 1 species
CAGGCCAGUGGAGUGUUAUGGGGGGUACAGGAGACCUUACAAUGGCACGAGGUAUUAUAAAUUACAAAAUAAUCCAAGAAGACGGUGCCAGCAGGACCUUUGAAAUAUGCAUAUUUGCAUACUACACUUCAAAGGAAACCAUUCCGGUAAGUGCCAGAUACAUUUUUAUCUGUUGCUAGUAUUGAAAUUUUCUCUUCAUAUUUUGGAUAAAAUUAAAUAGGACAGCAAACAUCUAUACAUACCUUACCACUGCAGUGUACAUAGAAGUAGUUUUAGUGAAUAGAUGAAUUCAUCUCCAUGAAUGUGAAUAUGUGAUGGAAACAAUACUCACAAAUGAUGAAUGACCACAUUCAUAAAUUUUAUGCAGAUUCCGGGUGGUAUUGGCAUUUUCCCUUGAGACAUUGCACUUCGGACAUAGAUUGGGACCAUCCUUCACAUGUUUGUGUGUGUUGAGACGAGAUGACUACUAGAUCUACGAUCUAUUUUAUGCUUCAUCCUAAAUAAAUUAUCCGCCUAUGUAUUGUGACUUACCAACCACUCAGUUGUAUUCUAGAGAGCAUUGCAUGCAAUUCUUCAUACCUUUUUAUGUCAUGUUCUCCUCGUCACAAAAGAUCCUAUCAUCAAUAAAUGUGCCAUUUUUUUGUGAAAAGAUGUUUUAGUAAUAUUUUUCUGGGCAUUCUCUUCAUGGUUCGAGAAUUUUGUGUGACUCAAACAUCUAGCAACUGUAGCCUUGCUAUGUUGUGAAGGAAUAAUACCACCAGAAAAAUCACUUUUAUUUCCCGUACCAGGGCUGCGAGUGUGGCAGUGAUACCCAAUGUACCACACCCGGUUCUAAAACACAUGUAGCAAUACUAGUCUUUGGUGGUCGUUCAUAACUGGCAGUACAGUUGCCAUAGUGAAGGCAUCAUUUUCCGGCAAGCUACAAGUUACGCAACUCUAAAAAUGGAUGGUCUAGCCUAGUCAUGCAUUGUCCUAGGAAACGGGUAGCAAAGGGGUUCCCGACCGGUAGUAAACGUUGUUUCUCCAGUAGUACCUAUAUGCACCCAAAUACAGACACAACAGGAAAAAGCUACUAAGGCCAUUCUUAAUUUAAUAUAAAUAGACUGCUCUUAAAUUUCAUAACUCUCGCCAAUAGUUACCUUGGUGAUGACGCCAGAAUGGCUGGCAUGUACUUCAAAUGAUUCUAGUAUUACUUAGAAAUUUAGCUUGAAAGCACAUGGAAUAACAUUGUACAAUUUAACUAGGUCUAUUCCAGGGUUAUGAAUUUAUUUCCACAAUUAAGCAAUAAUUGCAACAUUGUAUCACGGAUUAACAAGAAAACACUAGGGUAAACAUUGGGGUAGGAAAAUAAUAACCUCUAUACGCAAGACUAUACCAUGCCAAGGGUAAUAUGGAGAUAUUACUAUCUUGGAUUGAGAUCUAAAUUAACAAAAUUAUGGAAAUACGGGGCACUAUGGGGGGCAAAACAUAUGAAAACUCAAUAUCAACGUGCUUUGUAAACGUUUGUGGAGAUUUCAAAGAGUGGAUUGGAUUUGGCAAGAGAUAAUUAGAGCUAAAUACCUUCGGGAGUUUACCUUCAAAUCAGUGAAGCACAGGUGGAACCUUCAAGGGAGAAGUGUAAAGACUAAUUGCGUGGGGUAUACCCUCUUCUAGAAUGGUAUUUUCCGGUAUGAGACUCCUUUAUGUGAUGGAUUUCCAAUGCUAUAUGCCUUGUGUUGGCAAUAGGAAGUUAGUGUGUGCAAAUAGUAUCGCAAAUCAUAGGAAGUCCCUGCCGAUUUGAGAAUCCUAUUGUUCGUUCGUACCUUGUACAGUAACAGAAGAGAAUUCUAACCAUGGAUUGUAUAUGGAGUUAGAAAAAUUACUAUAAUCCUCAGUGCUUCCACUUUUAGGGUUUAGACCUCAUGGUUUUGCAAUGAUCGACUAGCAUCUUUCGAUAGAGAAUGCCCAGUUCCUUCUUUCUUAUCUGACCCACCUAAACAAAUUGCAGGUGCAAGUCUAGUUACAGGGACAAAUAAGACAUUUUAACUUGUUGACGUUCGCAAUGGCAUUCUCUUUCAUAUGGCAAGUUGACUCGAAGGUACCAUUUUCUAUCGAAGUCAGUAGGGAAGACCCAUUUAGUUAUCUAGGACAGGGAGUGAAAACUAGGCCUGCUGGAUCCUACUCAGCUGCUGUAACUACUACUCAAGAGCCCCUUUCACCAGAAGUAGCAUUUUCUGCUGAGUGUAUUCCAAGGCUAAUCCAAUCCACAUUGACCAAGACCAUGGGUUGUUUCCGUAAGGGGGUGAUCUGCCAUCUUGAAUAUAGUGCCAGAAAAGACCGAGCUGGAGGAAAUGGCUGGGGCAGGAGGAAGAAGAUGUCCGAUUUAUAGGAGGGAAGUUAGUACCGGAUGGAGGCUUGGAGUUAAGGUUGGAGGCUUACUGGGUGAAGCCUCCACCCGGUACUAAAGGUUGCCAAUUACUGGGUGAAGCCUCCACCCGGUACUAAAGGUCCUCAGGCACAUUAGUACUGGUUGGAGGCUUCAACUGGUACUAAUGCGUAUCCUUUAGUACCGAUGAAGCCUGCACCCGGUACUAAAGGGGAUCACGGGGCGCUACUGGGGAACUAGCCGUUAGUGCCGGUACUAAUACUCGGGUCAAAAACCAACCGGUACUAAGCCUCGGGAUGCAUGCUGAGCCUAGGGAUCCACACGCGUAAUUAUGAAGCAAUAAUUACAAGGAUUCAAGUUGACUCUGGAGAAAGAUCUGCCAGCGAUAUGUGAGCAAUUACACGUUGGAUCACAUGUUUGGUACUGUUUACAUUGAGUCAUAACCUAUAUUUUUUCUCUCCGAUCUGAUCAAGUGUAAUCAUUUAUGAAUCAAUAACUCUUGAGAAAUAAUAACCAUCAUAAACAAUUAUGAAGCAAAAAUAACCAAGGAUUUGAGUUGACUGAGGAGAAAGAGCCGCCCACAAUAUGUGUGGAAUUACACGUUGGAUCACAUGUUUGGUACAGUUUACAAGAGUAAAGAAACAAACCAUCGAGUCAUAAUAAAUUAUAAUUUGCCCCUUUGAUCCGAUCAAGUAAUCACUUACUCCCUCCGUCCUAAUAAAUCGUAGGUCGUUUUGGCAUUUCUAUAAUCAUAACUUUUGCUAUGCAAGCAAAAGUUAUGAUCCUAGAAAUGCCAAGGUGCAUAGCAAAAGUUAUGAUCCUACAAAUGCCAAAACGACCUAUAAUUUGGGACGGAGGGAGUAGGAAGCAAUAACAUGAUACCUGAAUUAUGAAAGAUUUGCAUUUGACUUUACCAAAAUCUCUUCCAGCAAUAUGUGAGUCAAGUGGGGGUUGUUGCUCUGAUUCGUCUACAUAUAAUUUAGGGCUCCACUAAGUACGCAGUGUAGCACAUGCAUGAAACAUCGUCUCACAUGUAUCUUUCUGGAUCCAGGAUAAGCACAUUGUUAAUUAUUCAUCCUCUGCCCAUUAACUGGAGUUCCAUUAAUAUAAUGACUAUCCAGUCCUGCUACACGUUACUAGAUCACACGGUUUGUUCUGUCAACCUGAGUUAAGAGGCACAUAAUGCUAGGUUGAAGUUAUGAGCAAAGUACCAUAUGUAUCCCAGAUCUGAUUAACCACUUAUUAUAAUUGAGAAUACAAGUUGUUUAGGACGUUGACACCGUCUACGGCUAGGUGAUGUUUUGAGAAAAAUUUCUGUGCCACCAUGAUGAUUAUGAUAAUGAUUUUUAUGUAUAGCAGAAGUUUUACGGAGCAUCUAGUAAUAAUUAUUUUGUAUGCUCAUUCUUCCGAAGAAAAUUACAUUAAUGGUCAAACUGAUGGAAAUUUUACUUGCAUGAAUCCUAAAACCUACCUUAUAUUUAUUAAUUGGGAGUGGUAAUUUAUAAAAACGAAACAGCCUGAUAAUGACUUUCGAAACCACAGCAAAGGAUUCCAACUGACCUACAUAGUAUAUUGCCAGCAUCAUGUGAGCUAUGUGUCCCUUGUUUCUUUGAUUCCAACUGGCCUUGGAGUUGCAAAUACUGUUGACUAGCUACUCCCAACCGAGUUAGGAAUAUCCCAAUUUAAUGCGACCAGGGGAGUAUGUGGUCUACAAUAUUUGCAACUCAAAGUAUAGACCGAUUGCAACCCUGACCAUUGGCCAGUGCAACUGCACGGUCGAAUUUAUUGCACUUAGAUAUUAAUGUGGGGAUGUUGGUGGCGUGCAGUAUAAGGCAGGGGGUUGUAUGAAAAAUGUUCCGAGGAACUGUGCCUAGCUGCUUGCACCGUAUAUCUCCGAUCUGACGGUCCAUGGUUGGAGUUUUCGGGAUUCCACCUACCAGAUGGUUUGCACUGCAUAUUUACCCCCAUAUAAAGUAUUCAACAAACAUGAGUGCAGCAUACCAGGGCCAUGUGAAACCAUGUUACCUUCUAUGGACUAGGGUAGAUCCCUCUAUAAAUACAACCCCCUUCUAUCACACUUCAAAUACGAUACGGGAGUAAGGAAAUAGAUACCCUACGAUCCUAGCUAGCCAUGACCUCCUACUAUGCAAUAGCCGUGCUUUCAUUGCUUGCCUUUUCCAUCUCUGCGGUACGCGCGCUGGAUGACAAGAAGCUGCAAACCACCCUAUACAUAAAACAGACAUAUGCCACGGACCAAAGGCCUUUGGGAACUGAUACAGUCAUCAUUAAUUGGGUCAUAAAGGAUGGGCCUGAUGGGAAUCCCAUCGGGCAUGCAGAGGGCCUCACGACCCGUGCCAACCCAGCCCAGAAUUUAUGGGAAACCAUAAUGGAUUUGGUGUUCGAGAGUGGAAGGUAAAGAAUCCUUUUUUGGCUACAGAAUUGCUUGUGUUGUGGUAUUUACACAAGUGUAUGUUUAUCAUAUUAUGUGGUUGUCUUCAAAAAGAUGUUUUGGGGUUUUAAACAUAGCUUCGACAACUUUUUAUUAAUUUUGUUAUAAAAAUAUAAAACAUAUGAUAUAUCAAUGCAAUUUUAAUACGAUUGUAAACGGACAUAUACCAUCUCCAUUUUUUUGAACCAGGUACUUUACAAGUUUUGUAUGGACAAAGUUUUCAAUCUUUUACUGGGACCUUGUCCCAAACUCUGUUUUGGACUAGAACUUGGUGAUGCAACUGUUACGCCCUACACUGCUACUCCUGACCUUUUAAAUUAUGCAUGCAUAUUCUGAUUCUGUCAACAAAAUAGCCUCGCUGGAUCAACACUUAAGGUGAUGGGCCGUCUUGGGGGCAAGAUCAGUGGACCAGGCCAGUGGAGUGUUAUGGGGGGUACAGGAGACCUUACAAUGGCACGAGGUAUUAUAAAUUACAAAAUAAUCCAAGAAGACGGUGCCAGCAGGACCUUUGAAAUAUCCAUAUUUGCAUACUACACUUCAAAGGAAACCAUUCCGGUAAGUGCCAGAUACAUUUUUAUCUGUUGCUAGUAUUGAAAUUUUCUCUUCAUAUUUUGGAUAAAAUUAAAUAGGACAGCAAACAUCUAUACAUACCUUACCACUGCAGUGU